UUCGAUGAUGAUGCACGAGUUAAUCCAUUCUCUGAGUCUCUGUGUGCGUGUGUAUGUGCGCAUGUGCACUGCCGAACUGCGGGCGUGACGG